GGUUCGAUCUGGCUCCAGUUGAACGCUGGCGGGGAUACUUCCCAUGCAAGUCAGACGGCAGCACGGACUGGUCUGGUGGCAGGGGUGGCGAACAGGUACAGGUAAUGUAUCGGAACGUGCCGUGGCGGGGGAUAACUACGCGAAAGCGUAGCUAAUACCGCAUACGCCCUUCGGAAAGCGAGACGUCGGGCCUCGCCACUAUUAGAGCGGCCGAUAUCGGAUUAGCUAGUUGGUGGGGUAACGCUCUUGGCGACGAUCCGUAGCUGGUUUGAAGGCGACCGUACACUGGGACUGAGACGCGGCCCAGACUCCUGCAGGAGGCAGUGAAAUUUUGGACAAUAAAACCUGAUCCAGCCAUCCACGUCGACGCGUCAUUUCGGGUUGUAAAGCAACUUUUGGCAGAAAGAAACGGCGCGGAUAGCCGUGCAGCUGACUGAUACCUGCGAAUACUUUGACUGUGCUACGUGCCAGCAGCGCGGUAAUACGUAGUGCAAGCGUUAAUCAGAAUUACUGGGGCGUAAAGCGUGCGCACAGGCAGUUGGAAAGAAGAUGCGAAAUCCCGGGCUUAACUUUUUGGAACUGCAUUUUCAGCACCGAGCUAGAGAAUUAUGUGUCGGAGGUGGAAUUCACGUGGCAGUGGUACGUAGAUAUUGCGAGCACACCGGUAGCGAAAACAGCCUCCUGGGAUAACACUGACGCUCAUGCACGAAAGCGUGAGGAGCAAACAGGUUAGAUGCACAAGUGGUCACGCCUAAGCUUGAUGUCAACUAGCUAUUUGGGGCCUUCGGGCCUUGGUAGCGCAGCUAACGCGUGAAGUUGACCGCCUGGGAGAUACCAGUCGCAGAUUAAAACUCAAAGAAAUUGACGGACCCGCACAAGCGGUGGAUGAUGUGGAUUAAUUCGAUGCAACGCGAAAAACCUUACCUACCCUUGACAUGUCUGGAAUCCCGAAAGAGAUUUGGGGGUGCUCGCAAGAGAACCGGAACACAGGUGCUGCAUGGCUGUCAUCAGCUCGUGUCGUGAGAUGUUGGGUUAAGUCUCCGCAACGAGCGCAACCCUUGUCAUUAGUUGCUGCGAAGGGCACUCUAAUGAGACUGCCGGUGACAAACCGGAAGGUGGGGAUGACGUCAAGUCCUCAUGGCCCUUAUGGGUAGGGCUUCACGCGUCAUACAAUGGUCAGGACAAGAGGUCGCCAACCCGCGAGAGGCCAAUCAGAAACCCGAUCGUAGUCCGGAUCACCAGUCUGCAACUCGACUGCGUGAAGUCGGAAUCGCUAGUAAUCGCGGAUCAGCAUGUCGCGGUGAAUACGUUCCCGGGUCUUGUACACACGCGCCCGUCACACCAUGGGAGUGGGUUUUACCAGAAGUAGUUAGCCUAACCGUAAGAGGGCGAAUUACCACGGUAGGAUUCAUGACUGGGGUGAAGUCAUGGCACACAGUGG
rnacentral:rRNA from 1 species